AUGGACGACGGCGCCGCCGCCGUCCGGUCGGUUUGGGCCGACAACUUCAAGGCCGAGUCCGCCGUCUUCUGCCAGAUCGCGCCGCACGCCACGCACGUCGCGCUGAACGUGCAGUACCCGGGCUGCGUGUUCCGCGGCGACGGCCGGAAAAGCCACUACGACAUGACCGCCGAGGAGCGGUACCAGGUGGUCCGGGCCAACGUGGCCCUCCUGAAGCCGCUCCAGGUGGGGCUCGCCAUCCGCACCGACGACGGCGGGCGGUUCGCGUGGGAGUUCAACCUGCGCGGGUUCGACGUCGCCUCGGACCUCGACGCGAGGGACCCCGACUCCAUCGCCUACCUCGCCCGCUGCGGGGUCGACUUCGGCCGGCUUCCCGAGUCCGGCAUCCACGGGCACGAGCUCCGCCGGAUGCUGCGGGCCUCCGGCCUGCUCGGGGCCCGGGCGUCGUGGGCGACGUUCGCCAGCGCGUACCACGUCGGCUACUUCGUGACCAUGAUGUCCGGCGAGAAGCUUCCGGGCGACGUGGACGCCUUCAUGGAGAUGGUGCGUCUGCUCCUCGGGCCGUCCGUGUACGACGUGAAGCGGCUGGCGAGGCAGCACGACCAGAGGUGCGUCGGCGCGCUGAGCCACAUCGUGAAGCAGCUCGGCGUGGUGCAGCCCGAUGAGCCGAAGCCGACGCCCGCCGGCACAGGUAGCACGCUGGCGCUCCUGGCUUUCGAGACGUUGAAGGAGAAGCUUGGCGCCAACGCGCAGAAGUACCGCGGCCAACUGUGUGGGCUUCAGGCUGUUUAA
rnacentral:rRNA from 1 species